UACGUAGGGUGCGAGCGUUACUCGGAAUUACUGGGCGUAAAGCGUGCGCAGGCGGCUUCGUAAGUCAGACGUGAAAUCCCCGGGCUUAACCUGGGAAUGGCGUUUGAAACUACGGAGCUGGAGUGUGGCAGAGGGAGGUAGAAUUCCACGUGUAGCGGUGAAAUGCGUAGAUAUGUGGAGGAAUACCGAUGGCGAAGGCAGCCUCCUGGGCCAACACUGACGCUCAUGCACGAAAGCGUGGGGAGCAAACAGG
rnacentral:rRNA from 1 species